GGCAUUGGACUGGGGUUUAGCGUGUAGAGGAUAGCUGGGAGGCUUUGAAGCUCGGGCGUCAGCUCGGGUGGAGCCAACAGUGGAAUACCAGCCUCGUUGAACUUUAGCUCUAACGGUGCCCCUGAUCGGGGUUCCGGACAGUGCCUGGUGGGUAGUUUGACUGGGGCGGUCGCCUCCCAAAAAGUAACGGAGGCGCCCAAAGGUUCCCUCAGCCUGGGCGGAAAUCAGGCGCAGAGUGCAAUGGCAUAAGGGAGCUUGACUGUGAGACUUACAAGUCGAGCAGGGACGAAAGUCGGGCAUAGUGAUCCGACGGCCCGGUGUGGAAUGGCCGUCGCUCAACGGAUAAAAGUUACCCCGGGGAUAACAGGCUUAUCGGGCCCAAGAGUUCACAUCGACGGCCCGGUUUGGCACCUCAAUUUGGGGUGAAACGGCAGAAAUGCCGUAAUGGAAUCGGCUUAUAACGGUGAACCCCUAACCGCCGCCAUCCACAUUGGCGCGGUGGGCAAUACCGUGGGAAGUCGUCUCGCGUGAGAGAUUGACCCCGUAACGACUGUGGCUUGCACCACGGUGGCAGUUCGUGCCAUACAACGGCAAAUCUAUGACUGCCACAACACGCCGACCCCUCGCUUGAAAGGGCAGGGUGAAGAGAUAGUCUGCGCUGCUGGAAACAGCAGAGAACGUGCGAUGUCGGCUCGUCGCAUCCUGGGGCUGGAGUCGGUCCCAAGGGUUGGGCUGUUCGCCCAUUAAAGCGGUACGCGAGCUGGGUUUAGAACGUCGUGAGACAGUAAGGGAAAUUGCUGUCUAUAAAUCUGGCCAAAUGCUGGAAAAUCCGGUGCAUCCCUCACUACCUGCAGCCGAGCUGCCGGUGAAAACGUGUAGGGUGCGGACGAUCAGCAGGAAAGACUGGAUGGCCAUCUAGCCAUCCGGAAUCCUCAGAGACUGUACGCCGGACGGAAUCGGUUUCCGAAGAUACAGUCCGAGCUGCAUGGCGACAUGCAGAGCCGGGCAGAAAUGCCCCGGCCCGCGAUUAGAUAGAUGUCGCGGUAACAAAUCUGUCGGUCCCUAUCCGCCGUGGGCGCAGGAGACUUGAGGAGAGUUGACCCUAGUACGAGAGGACCGGGUUGAACGGCCCGCUAGUGUACCGGUUGUCACGCCAGUGGCAGCGCCGGGUAGCCAUGGCCGGUUCUGAUAAGCGCUGAAAGCAUCUAAGUGCGAAGCAGACUCCAAGAUAAGGUCUCCCACUGGGUUAACCAGGUAAGGGCCCUAGUAGACCACUAGGUUGAUAGGCCGGAGGUGUAAGAGCAGCAAUGCUUUGAGCUGACCGGUACUAAUAGCCCGAGGGCUUGUUCACCUAUAACUCACUCU
rnacentral:rRNA from 1 species